UUUGACAUUACGAAAUUCUUCGUCGAUUGCGAUCGAACGUUACGUGCGUAGAGUUCGAUUAAAAAGUAAUUAGAUGAAAAUACUAUUUCGUACGUAGCAAGAAAUAUAUGUAUCUAUAUUUACAUAUAUUUUCAAGCAAACAUAGCUAGCUUACAAAUGAAUGAUAUCAUUGUUAUCCUUGACUACCUAUACAGUACGCUGGAUGUGUAUUAUGCUGUAGCAAUUAUGCACAUCAGUUCACAUCUAUUGCCCUGCAGCGCUCUUGCCUACAGUCGAGUCAGACGUCUUGACUUUUGGGAAUAACCGUUUCCGUUUAUCGUACAUCAAGAAACUGCUUCUUCCAGUUCUCGUCUAUUUCUUAACCACUUCGUCGUUAUGCAGAACGCUGGAAAUGUACGUUCCAUAUACAACACUAUGGUCACACCGUAGAGAAUCGACCGAGUUCUCGCCGCUCUGUGACAACUUUGAGGCAACUGUUCAGGCACACCUGUAUUUUUCCUAGAAGUAAUUUAUCAUCAGAAAGGAUUCUCAACUCAACGGAGGAUAUCUUGCUCGGUUUAGGUUUCCCCCUCCUUGAAACUCCCGCCUUAUCGGAAUUACAAUUAUCAAAGUUAGCCAAUGAACUUUUAAUUAGAAUCCGAAUAAAGUCUGAAAGGUCGUGACAAAUUGAACGACCGAGCGAGUCGGAAUGAUCGACGAAAAAGCAGCGACCGAAAAGACUUUGGAAGAAAGGAAAAAAGUGUCGCAGACUGAUAAAGCUUGAAAAGUAGAAACUCUUGUUUCCUGAAGGCGGAAAAAGGAUCGCGACUACGCUGCGCGAUACGACGCGACGGGAAGCGCUCUUAGAAAAUCAACAAGCGUCUGGGAUACGAGGAAACGAAUGGAAUACGAAGGUUAGUUGUAUCGUCCUUUGCGAAACCUUUUGUCCUGCCGCGAUACAGCCGUUAAAACUAUGUAAUUUACGCUCCAACCAACAAAACGAUUACGCGCCUCCGUUAGCUGCGAAGUUACACAGUCCUUGUGUAAUUUUUCGGUCAGAAAGUGAUUAGUGAAGGAAAUUAGCAGCGUGUUUCCUCGCACGACACACGUUUAGUUUUCGAUGAGAGGAUUCGUCUUGGCGGAAUUGUACGUGACUACAGAGGUGCCAAGUCCGAGUAAUUGAUCGUCUCUCGUUUCUUAUCUCAUUCAUCUUUUCUUUUUUUUUUCUUCCUUUCCUACUAAACGACGUAUUCAGACGGAACGUUUACGCGUACGAGUAGUUUCGAACAAAUCCCCGUAAUAUUCCGUGUUGCGUACAGUUUGUCAUCCUUCGUAACGGAGUUUAAUGCCACAGUAUCUAGCUAGUACUGCUACCGUGAGAUCAAUAUCCCGUAAAGGUAGUUUCCCGGGAGACAGUGUAUUUUCAUUCUAUUGGAUCAGCAGUAUUUUGGGGUCUGAUACAGCUUCCGCUAUACGUAUGUUAAAUCUAGGAAAACUGCUGUUACCAAACGAGCAGACUGUUUUUUUUAACCACCGAACCGUGCAACUCGUAUUUCCGGCUAUCGCAAAAAAUUGUACAUCUGCCUUCAAUUAGAGCAACGUUUCGCUAAACGAUAAUCCCGUAUUUAUGAUUUUCCAAGUUUAAUAUCUUUCUAUCGCGUCAAGCGUUUCGUCGCUGCUUUCCACAAAUUUUAUCUUUUAAGUAGUUUCUAACCGCACUUUUUUGUCGGUUCGUAUUCGUCCGAUCGAAUAUAUCCAAAGAACAACUCGACUGGUUCGUCUAUGGUAUGAAGUAGAAGAACACAGAUGAAAGACGAAUGAUAGGAAACGAGCGAAGACGAGACGCCCGGAGGUAGUUGUCCCAGAAUCAAUCUUCUGCAAGCGAGGGCGCUCUUUCUUAACUGCUAAGGGAGUUCUACUGACACGGAAGCAGAAACUAUCGGCUUGGCGAGGUCGCCGCGGUAAUUGCACGCUUCUCGAACAACCAAGUCUUUCGUAACUGGAUUUCUUGGCUCUAUUCGUUGUCGAGUUUUACUGCAGUCCGGUUUUUCCUCCAAUGUCUCUGUCCCAUCGACACUUUGUCUGACUUUUCGGUUUUAAUCGACGAUUAUUAAUAUUAUCAUGUUAUUUUAAUAUAUUAGUAUCAUUAAGAUUGGGAAAAUACUUGUACGUUUUGAACUACCUGUAUGUUGGAAGUUUCUUGGAAAUU